rnacentral:rRNA from 1 species
GACGAACGCUGGCGGCGUGCCUAAUACAUGCAAGUAGAACGCUGAAGGAGGAGCUUGCUCUUCUUGGAUGAGUUGCGAACGGGUGAGUAACGCGUAGGUAACCUGCCUGGUAGCGGGGGAUAACUAUUGGAAACGAUAGCUAAUACCGCAUAAUAGUAGAUGUUGCAUGACAUUUGCUUAAAAGGUGCAAUUGCAUCACUACCAGAUGGACCUGCGUUGUAUUAGCUAGUUGGUGAGGUAACGGCUCACCAAGGCAACGAUACAUAGCCGACCUGAGAGGGUGAUCGGCCACACUGGGACUGAGACUCGGCCCAGACUCCUACGGGAGGCAGCAGUAGGGAAUCUUCGGCAAUGGACGGAAGUCUGACCGAGCAACGCCGCGUGAGUGAAGAAGGUUUUCGGAUCGUAAAGCUCUGUUGUAAGAGAAGAACGAGUGUGAGAGUGGAAAGUUCGCACUGUGA